CCCUUAGACGUUCUGGGCCGCACGCGCGCUACACUGACCAGUGCAACAAGCAUCCGUCCUUGGCCGACAGGCCCGGGCAAUCUUUGAACGCUGGUCGUGAUGGGGAUAGACUUUUGCAAUUUUUGGUCUUCAACGAGGAAUUCCUAGUAAACGCAAGUCAUCAACUUGCAUCGAUUACGUCCCUGCCCUUUGUACACACCGCCCGUCGCACCUACCGAUUGAAUGGUCCGGUGAAGCCUCCGGAUUGGCGCGCACCUCGGUGCCGCCGAGAAGUUGGCUAAACCUUACCAUUUAGAGGAAGGUGAAGUCGUAACA
rnacentral:rRNA from 1 species